GAUGAACGCUAGCGGCAGGCUUAAUACAUGCAAGUCGUGGGGCAGCAGGUCUGUAGCAAUACAGACGCUGGCGACCGGCAAACGGGUGCGUAACACGUACGCAACCUUCCCGUUACUGGGGAAUAGCCCAGGGAAACUUGGAUUAAUACCCCAUAUUAUAUUGGUUAGGCAUCUGACUGAUAUCAAAGCUUCGGCGGUAACGGAUGGGCGUGCGGUUGAUUAGGUAGUUGGCGGGGUAACGGCCCACCAAGCCUACGAUCAAGAGCUGAUGUGAGAGCAUGAUCAGCCACACGGGCACUGAGACACGGGCCCGACUCCUACGGGAGGCAGCAGUAAGGAAUAUUGGGCAAUGGACGAAAGUCUGACCCAGCCAUGCCGCGUGAAGGAUGAAGGUCCUCUGGAUUGUAAACUUCUUUGAUCUGGGGCGAAAAUCGGUUAUUCUUAGCCGCUUGACAGUACCAGAUGAAUAAGCACCGGCUAACUCCGUGCCAGCCGCCGCGGCAAUAC
rnacentral:rRNA from 1 species